rnacentral:misc_RNA from 1 species
UUCGGGUAGGGAUAGUAGUGAAAAGCCCACAGCAGUAAAGUGUGCUUUGCUGCGAGGACUUGUAGCGAAUAGCCCGAUUGCGC